rnacentral:tRNA from 1 species
UGGGUUGUGGCUCAGUGAUAGAGUGCUUGCCUAGCAUGUAUGAGGCACUGGGUUCGAUUCUCAGCACCACAU